rnacentral:rRNA from 1 species
UACAGAGGGUGCGAGCGUUAAUCGGAAUUACGGGGCGUAAAGCGCACGUAGUCGGCUUUGCAAGCCGGUUGUGAAAUCCCCGGGCUCAACCUGGGAACUGCAUCCGGGACUGCAUUGCUAGAGUAUGGGAGAGGGAAGCGGAAUUUCUGGUGUAGCAGUGAAAUGCGUAGAUAUCAGAAGGAACAUCAGUGGCGAAGGCGGCUUCCUGGACCAAUACUGACGAUCAGGUGCGAAAGCGUGGGGAGCAAACAGG